GGGGUGGAUAAAAAGUGGGGAAGUACUUUCGGUUCGGGAUAAACCCAGGGGAAACUUGGGCUAAUACCGGAUAAGUCCUUUGGGAGAAAGAUUCAUUGCCGGAAAGAUCGGCCCGCGUCUGAUUAGCUAGUUGGUGAGGUAACGGCUCACCAAGGCGACGAUCAGUAGCUGGUCUGAGAGGAUGAUCAGCCACACUGGGACUGAGACACGGCCCAGACUCCUACGGGAGGCAGCAGUGGGGAAUAUUGGACAAUGGGCGCAAGCCUGAUCCAGCCAUGCCGCGUGAGUGAUGAAGGCCCUAGGGUUGUAAAGCUCUUUCGCACGCGACGAUAAUGACGGUAGCGUGAGAAGAAGCCC
rnacentral:rRNA from 1 species